AAAAUCAUAUAAGCGUAUUUUUGUGUUUGCAAAAGUAUAAAAGAAUAAAUUAGAUUCUCUUAAUUUAGUUGAAUUUUGGAAUAAGGAAAAUGAAUUUCAUUUGUGCAUUUGUGCUUCUGUUUGGUGUCUCUAUUGUCACUGGUGGCAAUGAGACGAAAUACUGUGAAAGCAGUGAGUACUUCAUGAUAAAACACCAGAAAUCGGGUUUAGUCAUAGAUGGAAAGGGUGAAAAGUUAGAUCAACUUAAAAUUGAGACUGCAACCAAGUCAAUGACACAGUUAUGGUCACUAAAAAUGAUAGAAUUUGGAAAGUUUAUAAUUAUUAAUCGUGCCACAGGGAGGGUUUUGGAUAUACGGUACAACAAGGGAGCUGGUUCAGAUAUAAUCGCCUUUCCUAAACACUGCAAACGAAAUCAGCAAUGGAUCAUUGAUCAUAGCACUGGUCAUAUUGCUGCGACCUAUGACAAUCUUGUUAUAGAAAUAAAUGCUAAGAAUUUUGUUCCAGGAAGUGGUUUGGUAGCCAAUCCCAAGAAAAAAGGACAACCAAAUCAAGUGUUUACUAUUGAACCUGUAUAAUUAUUUUGUAAUAAUUUUUAAACAUAUAUUAGAUGUUUCAAAACAACAAUAACGCCAACGUCGCAUUUUUAGCAUUUUUUUUUAAUAAGUUUGAUGAAAUUGUCAAAUAGUUAUCAGUGAUUAGAUUUCUCAUUGACAGUAUAAAUUACAUUAGCUAUUAUUUUAAGAGAAAAUGCGACGUUUACGUUUUUAUGGUUUUGAAACAGCUAAUACCUAAUUCAUGAUGGAUUAUGCGUAUGAAAUAAAAUUAUAAAACAAA